rnacentral:rRNA from 1 species
UACGGGGGGGGCAAGCGUUGUUCGGAAUUACUGGGCGUAAAGGGCUCGUAGGCGGCCAACUAAGUCAGACGUGAAAUCCCUCGGCUUAACCGGGGAACUGCGUCUGAUACUGGAUGGCUUGAGUUCGGGAGAGGGAUGCGGAAUUCCAGGUGUAGCGGUGAAAUGCGUAGAUAUCUGGAGGAGCACCGGUGGCGAAGGCGGCAUCCUGGACCGAUACUGACGCUGAGGAGCGAAAGCCAGGGGAGCAAACGGG